rnacentral:rRNA from 1 species
GUCUACGGCCAUACCACCCUGAACGCGCCCGAUCUCGUCUGAUCUCGGAAGCUAAGCAGGGUCGGGCCUGGUUAGUACUUGGAUGGGAGAACAAACUGAGGGUUACUAAAGGGGUGGAAGGUG